AUGACUAAGAGAACCAAGAAGGCCGGUAUUGUUGGCAAAUACGGCACCCGAUAUGGUGCUAGUUUGAGGAAGCAAAUUAAGAAGAUGGAAGUCAGUCAGCACAGUAAAUUCUUCUGCGAGUUUUGUGGAAAGUAUGUUGCUGGUGGUGUUUACACUUUGAAUACUGCCAGUGAUGUGACUGUUCGGAGUACCAUCCGAAGGUUGAGGGAGCAUACUGAGAGUUAG